AAUUUUCUUAAAUAGAUGAAAUAUCUGUUGUCACUCUUAAUCUUGUUGGGUUAAAAAAAAGACUAUUGAAUUAACUUGCAAAGAAAAAAAAAAAGAAAACGUUAUAGAGGGCAUAUGUGCAAAAUUUCUGAACAGAAAUUAAUUAACCUCACAGAAUAAAGAUCCUCAUUUUCAAAACUUUGACAAAAGAUCCACUCCACUGGCAUCGGCGAUUAAACGCAGGCAACCGCAUUAGAAGAAAAUGCCAAUCGCUAAUAAAAAGUAAUUCAAAUUAGAGGAAAAAAAGAAGAAGAAACUAGCCGUUGGUGCUCACAAAUUCAAAUGGUAUAUAUAUUGGGUCACAACACAAAGUUGUCCAUUUUUCUUCAUAGAAAGAGAAAAAAAUCUCUUCUUCUUCCUCCUCAAUUCUCUCUAUUUCUCUCUCUAAACGCUCCUCCCUCUUUCUCUCUCUCUCUUUCUCUGAUUCUGUUUGGAAAGCUUGCUGUGCAUAGAUCUGCUUUGUACUUACCUUGAGAAUUCCUGUUGCGAAAAGAAGCGGUCAUGUACCCUACCGGGACUUCAGCUUCCCGACAAGUUUUGGAAAAUGAGAAUGAAAACAGAGCACCGGAAAAUGAAGACUUCAUUUCAUAUCCGGUGAGACCCAGCCAGAGUCUGUGAAAGAGACUUCCUAUAAUAUGUGGAGACGUUUCAUCAAAGGAAGGAACUCCAGGCUAUCGUCAUUCUAUUUCAGAUAAUACGAAGAAAAUGCAGAAGGUGGUCUAGAAUGCAUCAGAGGAGAAUGUGAGAAGCAUAAGAGCUUAUGUGACAGAAUUGAAGGAACAUGUUGCCAAACUGCAAUACCAAAAGCAGCUACUUGUUUGCUAGGUCAUUGAGCUGGAAGCAAAUGAAGCGGCAUUUGGCAGAAAUUGGCAAUUCAAGCCCUGCUCCUCAUGUUGGAGAUGAGCUUACAAUUUCUAUCGUCAAGCUCGAGCAAUGAGACGUGAAAGAGAGUUUCUAGCAAAGAGAUUCUACUUAUCCGGUUUAGAGAUCCUAAGCGAUCUUCUUUACACUUUUAGGAUUAGUUUAGUUAAUUAAUUAGUUUUUCUUAUUUGAUUGUUUUGAGGCUUUUAAGCCAUGGUUGUAAUUAAUUUUCCUUAAUCGUCCCGAUCUCCUUAACCCCUUUCUGGAUUUCUUUUUUCUCCUCCCCCCUUCUAUGUAUAUUUUUUUUUAUUGUUUUUAGGUUUUCACCGCACAUGUCUAUGAGGGAAUAAAACCAACUUAGAAUUUAUGAGUGAUCA